ensembl:snRNA U6 U6 spliceosomal RNA
GUGCUCACGUCACCAGCACAUAUACUAAAAUUGGAACAAUACAGAGAAUUAGCAUGGACCCUGCAAAAGGAUGACAAGCACAUGUGUGAAACAUUCCAUAUUUUU